GUACACGGUGGAUGCCCUGGCAGUCAGAGGCGAUGAAGGACGUGCUAAUCUGCGAUAAGCGUCGGUAAGGUGAUAUGAACCGUUAUAACCGGCGAUUUCCGAAUGGGGAAACCCAGUGUGAUUCGUCACACUAUCAUUAACUGAAUCCAUAGGUUAAUGAGGCGAACCGGGGGAACUGAAACAUCUAAGUACCCCGAGGAAAAGAAAUCAACCGAGAUUCCCCCAGUAGCGGCGAGCGAACGGGGAGGAGCCCAGAGCCUGAAUCAGUGUGUGUGUUAGUGGAAGCGUCUGGAAAGGCGCGCGAUACAGGGUGACAGCCCCGUACACAAAAAUGCACAUAUUGUGAGCUCGAUGAGUAGGGCGGGACACGUGGUAUCCUGUCUGAAUAUGGGGGGCCCAUCCUCCAAGGCUAAAUACUCCUGACUGACCGAUAGUGAACCAGUACCGUGAGGGAAAGGCGAAAAGAACCCCGGCGAGGGGAGUGAAAAAGAACCUGAAACCGUGUACGUACAAGCAGUGGGAGCACGCUUAGGCGUGUGACUGCGUACCUUUUGUAUAAUGGGUCAGCGACUUAUAUUCUGUAGCAAGGUUAACCGAAUAGGGGAGCCGAAGGGAAACCGAGUCUUAACUGGGCGUUAAGUUGCAGGGUAUAGACCCGAAACCCGGUGAUCUAGCCAUGGGCAGGUUGAAGGUUGGGUAACACUAACUGGAGGACCGAACCGACUAAUGUUGAAAAAUUAGCGGAUGACUUGUGGCUGGGGGUGAAAGGCCAAUCAAACCGGGAGAUAGCUGGUUCUCCCCGAAAGCUAUUUAGGUAGCGCCUCGUGAAUUCAUCUCCGGGGGUAGAGCACUGUUUCGGCAAGGGGGUCAUCCCGACUUACCAACCCGAUGCAAACUGCGAAUACCGGAGAAUGUUAUCACGGGAGACACACGGCGGGUGCUAACGUCCGUCGUGAAGAGGGAAACAACCCAGACCGCCAGCUAAGGUCCCAAAGUCAUGGUUAAGUGGGAAACGAUGUGGGAAGGCCCAGACAGCCAGGAUGUUGGCUUAGAAGCAGCCAUCAUUUAAAGAAAGCGUAAUAGCUCACUGGUCGAGUCGGCCUGCGCGGAAGAUGUAACGGGGCUAAACCAUGCACCGAAGCUGCGGCAGCGACGCUUAUGCGUUGUUGGGUAGGGGAGCGUUCUGUAAGCCUGCGAAGGUGUGCUGUGAGGCAUGCUGGAGGUAUCAGAAGUGCGAAUGCUGACAUAAGUAACGAUAAAGCGGGUGAAAAGCCCGCUCGCCGGAAGACCAAGGGUUCCUGUCCAACGUUAAUCGGGGCAGGGUGAGUCGACCCCUAAGGCGAGGCCGAAAGGCGUAGUCGAUGGGAAACAGGUUAAUAUUCCUGUACUUGGUGUUACUGCGAAGGGGGGACGGAGAAGGCUAUGUUGGCCGGGCGACGGUUGUCCCGGUUUAAGCGUGUAGGCUGGUUUUCCAGGCAAAUCCGGAAAAUCAAGGCUGAGGCGUGAUGACGAGGCACUACGGUGCUGAAGCAACAAAUGCCCUGCUUCCAGGAAAAGCCUCUAAGCAUCAGGUAACAUCAAAUCGUACCCCAAACCGACACAGGUGGUCAGGUAGAGAAUACCAAGGCGCUUGAGAGAACUCGGGUGAAGGAACUAGGCAAAAUGGUGCCGUAACUUCGGGAGAAGGCACGCUGAUAUGUAGGUGAAGUCCCUUGCGGAUGGAGCUGAAAUCAGUCGAAGAUACCAGCUGGCUGCAACUGUUUAUUAAAAACACAGCACUGUGCAAACACGAAAGUGGACGUAUACGGUGUGACGCCUGCCCGGUGCCGGAAGGUUAAUUGAUGGGGUCAGCGCAAGCGAAGCUCUUGAUCGAAGCCCCGGUAAACGGCGGCCGUAACUAUAACGGUCCUAAGGUAGCGAAAUUCCUUGUCGGGUAAGUUCCGACCUGCACGAAUGGCGUAAUGAUGGCCAGGCUGUCUCCACCCGAGACUCAGUGAAAUUGAACUCGCUGUGAAGAUGCAGUGUACCCGCGGCAAGACGGAAAGACCCCGUGAACCUUUACUAUAGCUUGACACUGAACAUUGAGCCUUGAUGUGUAGGAUAGGUGGGAGGCUUUGAAGUGUGGACGCCAGUCUGCAUGGAGCCGGCCUUGAAAUACCACCCUUUAAUGUUUGAUGUUCUAACGUGGACCCGUGAUCCGGGUUGCGGACAGUGUCUGGUGGGUAGUUUGACUGGGGCGGUCUCCUCCUAAAGAGUAACGGAGGAGCACGAAGGUUGGCUAAUCCUGGUCGGACAUCAGGAGGUUAGUGCAAUGGCAUAAGCCAGCUUGACUGCGAGCGUGACGGCGCGAGCAGGUGCGAAAGCAGGUCAUAGUGAUCCGGUGGUUCUGAAUGGAAGGGCCAUCGCUCAACGGAUAAAAGGUACUCCGGGGAUAACAGGCUGAUACCGCCCAAGAGUUCAUAUCGACGGCGGUGUUUGGCACCUCGAUGUCGGCUCAUCACAUCCUGGGGCUGAAGUAGGUCCCAAGGGUAUGGCUGUUCGCCAUUUAAAGUGGUACGCGAGCUGGGUUUAGAACGUCGUGAGACAGUUCGGUCCCUAUCUGCCGUGGGCGCUGGAGAACUGAGGGGGGCUGCUCCUAGUACGAGAGGACCGGAGUGGACGCAUCACUGGUGUUCGGGUUGUCAUGCCAAUGGCACUGCCCGGUAGCUAAAUGCGGAAGAGAUAAGUGCUGAAAGCAUCUAAGCACGAAACUUGCCCCGAGAUGAGUUCUCCCUGACCCUUUAAGGGUCCUGAAGGAACGUUGAAGACGACGACGUUGAUAGGCCGGGUGUGUAAGCGCAGCGAUGCGUUGAGCUAACCGGUACUAAUGAACCGUGAGGCUUAACCUU
rnacentral:rRNA from 1 species